CCGCGCGGUGAGCACAGAGCGAACUAUUCUUUCGCCUUUUACUAAAGAAUACCGUGUGCUCGCCGCAGAUAGCGGCAUACGCCAAUUUUUGGAGGGUGUUCUUCCCUAUGGAGGAGCCCCUGUAAUCUCAGUCUUAAACUAUUAUUGUUUCUAGUGUAGCAACGGAGUCCUGCUACAAGCAGAAGCAGUCUUAAAAUGGUGGCAGACUGGGACAUUAUGUCAAUUUGCUUGGAUGUUAAUGAGUUUCAGUUGAAUCGUUCGAAUCCCAUAUUGUCUUACGGCUUGGUUGUUCUGAGCAGGUCAGGUGUGUAACAGUCCUGCUUCAAGAGAUUAGUUAUUCGUGUUUGAACUGAAAGAUGAGGGAAAGAGAAACAGGUAAGAAAAUCAAUGUCCUGACUGUUGGAGGUGGUGCUCAGAAUCUCAAAGAAAACCAUUACACUUCGUUUGUUGCAUUUCCUAAUGGAUAUUUCAUGCAGCUAAUUGAGUUGUAUAGGCUAAUAGGCCAAAAGCCUUGAAACCAACCCUGGUAAGACUUCAUGUAAAUGCAGAUGUUGGAAAUACAUAACAGAAACUAAACCUGUUUAUACAAGAGUGAUCGGUAAUCCCAAGGGCACAUUACAGGCAGGUAGAGAAUACUCAUGGCUUACAUGAUUCGAGUACCAGUUUAGCCUGGUAGACUCCGUUCACAAUGCAAGCCUAUUAAGGUCAAGAAGACGAAGACCUCUCACCCUUCAGCGAACGAGUUCCUACAACUUAAGCGGAAAAAAAGAGGGGGGAGCUAAAUCAUGCACCAGAUGGCACAGCUGCAAACUCCGAAGUGCUGUCUUGUUUCAUCACCGAGUCCCACACUGGAACGAUGCAGGGAAAUCCCAGCAAGCAGAUUACAAUAAAAUGGAACCAACUCAACUCCACAAACCACGCAGCCGAACGAGUCAUGCUACAAGCAAUCUUGAAAUGGUGGCAGACUGGAACAUUAAAAGUCACUUUUCUUGAAUGUUGAUGAGUUUCAGUUGAAUCGUUCCGAGUCCCAGAUUUUCUUUCGGCUUGGUUGGUAUGUGCCGGUGUGUGUAACAGUCCUGUCUCAUGAAAUUAGUUGUUUGUGUUUGAAUUGAAAGAUGAGGGGAAGAGAAAUAUGUAAGAAGGGAAGAAAAUCAACGCCCUGACUAUUGGAGGUGGUGCUCAGAAUCUCCAAGAAAGCCAU